rnacentral:lncRNA from 1 species
CCGGCCCCAACUUGCCCAAAUCCAGCUGGAGCCACCGGCGCGACCAGAGGGCAUCACCGGAAACCCCUCCGGGGCGGGCGGCGGGGCGCGGGGAGACCAGGGCGGGCCACCCUUCCCCGCCCCGCCCCGCGCCCCGCCCACGGGACCCGGACCGCGCCCUCAACCCCAGGCCCCGCGGCCACCCUGGACAGCUCCUGACUGACCGACCUGAGAGACACAGAGACAGAGACAGAGACAGAGAGAUUGAGAGGAUCCGAGACACGGACCCAGACAGACACCCACCGGGACAGACACACAGACGCUCACGCUGACGCAGAGAGGCCCUGCCCAAGAGGCAGCUUCCCCACAGGAGGGCGGUGGUGCUUGAGCUGGGCCCGGGCAAGGAGGCGGGGGCCCUGGGGCUGGCGAUCACCCCUGGGGCCCUGGGACGUGCAGACAGGGUCUCAGGAGUGCAGCGCUCCUGGGAUCCCUGUCCCGCGACCCGGACGCCCAGGAGCCACGGACUGGCAGCCGGGCUCGGGCUCGCUCUCGCUCUCGCUCUCGCUCUCGCUCUCGCUCUCGCUCUGUGUGUGUGCGUUUUUGUGUGCGCCUGCGUGUCUGUGUCUGUUUGUGUGUUUCUUUCCUUCUCUCUUCGCCUCUUCGUUCUGGCUCUUUUCCUCUUUCUGCGGGGCGCCCCCGGACUUCCUGAGUUGACAGAACGACCAGCCAGAAAAGUCAGGACACGGAGAACUUCGCCCGAGAAACCAACGCAAUCUACCAGACGUACAGAACCCCCUCCCCGACGACCACAGCGUCCACAGUCUGCUCGAGUGCAGGGUCGGGUCUCCUCUGAAGUUCAGAAUAAUAUAAAAAGGCCCAUCCUUUGUCAGGCUCAGUGGGAGUACCUGUGGAGCAAUGAUAAGGAUUCAGGAAAUAGUUUACGAUUCAAGUGCAUCCUAAAGUUGGAGCAACCCUGGCUAGAAUAUCAUAGAUCCUUGAGUUGGCAGAGACCUUUCACUCUUCAGUAUAUUUAUAUUCAACGCAAAGAUCCUUCCUUCUAUAUCAUCCUUGACAACAGACCACCUAGAUUCUGUGUAAAUAAUUCCGAUGACAAGAAACGCAUUAAAUAAAGAGACCCCUUUGUUUUUAGAGUUUUAAAUGUUU